rnacentral:rRNA from 1 species
UUAAGCAUAUUAAUAAGCGGGUAAGGGCGACUGAAAAGGGAUCUAGCCCAGCGCAUAACCUCGCGGUUCGUGCAGAGCCGACGAGGGGUGUUGCGUAUCGGUGGAUCCGUCCCGCCCGUGCUCUACCGCCUAAGUCCAAGUAGGAAUACAGCCCCAUGGAGGGUGAGAGGCCCGUGUGGCGGCGCCCGCAAGGGCUACUAGAGCGCGGGCGGAGGGAUCGCUUCACCGGAGAGUCGGGUUGCUUAAUAAUGCAGCCCUAAGAGAGGUGGUAAACUCCAUCUAAGGCUAAAUACAACCACGAGUCCGAUAGGCAACAAGUACCGUGAGGGAAAGUUGAAAAGGACUUUGAAGAGAGAGUUCAACAGUACGUGAAGCCGUUAGAAGCUUAAACGGGUGGAACCGCGAAGGUCGAACGAGGGCACUCACCUCGUCGGGCGGGCGGGGUCUGGGGCGCUCCGACAGGCCGGCGCCAAAGGUCCCUAAAAUAGUUAGAGCGCAGGAGCGCCCCGUCCGCGUCGUCCCGCUCCGGCGGGCGUAUUUGUCCCUCUAGUAGCAAACGCCGCGAGCCGUGGUGGGGACCGGCAGGCCCAAACAGCCCGGAUUGGUACCCUCGGUCUGGAGGGGAAACCGUUUGGCUGGGAAAUACACACGGUGCCCCCGCCACGGCGUGGCCCAGGGCAGCUCGG